GUGGUUAGGAUUCGGCGCUCUCACCGC
rnacentral:piRNA from 6 species